GAUGAACGCUAGCGGCAGGCCUAAUACAUGCAAGUCGAACGGUGUCUUCGGACAUAGUGGCGCACGGGUGCGUAACACGUAUGCAACCUACCUUACAUUGGGGGAUAGCCUUUCGAAAGGGAGAUUAAUACCGCAUAAGACAGUAGCUGGGCAUCCAGCAGCUGUUAAAGAUUUAUCGAUGUAUGCUGGGCAUGCGUCCAAUUAGCUAGUUGGUGAGGUAACGGCUCACCAAGGCAAUGACUGGUAGGGGAACUGAGAGGUCAAUCCCCCACACGGGCACUGAGAUACAGGCCAGACGCCUACGGGAGGCAGGAGUAGAGAAUAUUGGGCACUGGCCGCAAGUCUGACCCAGCCAUGCCGCGUGCAGGAUGAAGGCGUUAUGCGUUGUAAACUGCUGUUAUACAGGAAGAACCUACUCUUGCGAGAGGCAUUGACGGUACUGUAUGAAUAAGCACCGGCUAACUCCGUGCCAUCCGCCGCAGUAAGAC
rnacentral:rRNA from 1 species